rnacentral:rRNA from 1 species
AAUAUUCGACAAUGGGGGCAACCCUGAUCCAGCCAUGCCGCGUGUGUGAAGAAGGUUUUCGGCUCNUAAAACUCUGUCAUUGGGGANGAAUAAAUGACGGUACCCAACGAGGAAGCCACCGCUAACUACGUGCCAGCAGCCGCGGUAAUACGUAGGUGGCAAGCGUUGUCCGGAUUUAUUGGGCGUAAAGCGCGCGCAGGCGGUCUUUUAAGUCUGAUGUGAAAUCAUACAGCUUAACUGUAAGCGGUCAAUGGAAACUGGGAGAAUUGAGUGCAGAAGAGGAGAGUGGAAUUCCAUGUGUAGCGGUGAAAUGCGUAGAGAUAUGGAGGAACACCAGUGGCGGAGGCGACUCUCUGGUCUGUAACUGACGCUGAGGCGCGAAAGCGUGGGGAUCAAACA